rnacentral:rRNA from 1 species
CGAACGGGUGAGUAAUAUAUCGGAACGUGCCCUGGAGUGGGGGAUAACCAGUCGAAAGACUGGCUAAUACCGCAUACGAUCUACGGAUGAAAGUGGGGGAUCGCAAGACCUCAUGCUCGUGGAGCGGCCGAUAUCUGAUUAGCUAGUUGGUGGGGUAAGAGCCCACCAAGGCUUCGAUCCAGUAGCUGGUCUGAGAGGACGACCAGCCCACACUGGGACUGAGACACGGCCCAGACUCCUACGGGAGCUAGCAGUGGGGAAUUUUGGACAAUGGGGGCAACCCUGAUCCAGCAAUGCCGCGUGUGUGAAGAAGGCCUUCGGGUUGUAAAGCACUUUUGUCCUGAACGAAACGGUGGAGGCUAAUAUCCUCUGCUACUGACGGUACUGGAAGAAUAAGCACCGGCUAACUACGUGCCAGCAGCCGCGGUAAUACGUAGGGUGCAAGCGUUAAUCGGAUUUACUGGGCGUAAAGCGUGCGUAGGUGGCUGUUUAAGUCGGAUGUGAAAGCCCUGGGCUUAACCUGGGAACUGCAUUCGAUACUGGAUAGCUAGAGAUCGGUAGAGGGCAGCGGAAUUCCGGGUGUAGCGGUGAAAUGCGUAGAUAUCCGGAGGAACACCGAUGGCGAAGGCAACUGCCUGGG